GAUGAACGCUGGCGGCGUGCCUAAUACAUGCAAGUCGAGCGAACAGACGAGGAGCUUGCUCCUCUGACGUUAGCGGCGGACGGGUGAGUAACACGUGGAUAACCUACCUAUAAGACUGGGAUAACUUCGGGAAACCGGAGCUAAUACCGGAUAAUAUAUUGAACCGCAUGGUUCAAUAGUGAAAGACGGUUUUGCUGUCACUUAUAGAUGGAUCCGCGCCGCAUUAGCUAGUUGGUAAGGUAACGGCUUACCAAGGCAACGAUGCGUAGCCGACCUGAGAGGGUGAUCGGCCACACUGGAACUGAGACACGGUCCAGACUCCUACGGGAGGCAGCAGUAGGGAAUAUUCCGCAAUGGGCGAAAGCUUGACGGAGCAACGCCGCGUGAGUGAUGAAGGUCUUCGGAUCGUAAAACACUGUUAUUAGGGAAGAACAAAUGUGUAAGUAACUAUGCACGUCUUGACGGUACCUAAUCAGAAAGCCACGGCUAACUACGUG
rnacentral:rRNA from 1 species